rnacentral:rRNA from 1 species
GGANUCAUGGGGGAACCCUGAUGCAGCGACGCCGCGUGAGCGAUGAAGCCCUUCGGGGUGUAAAGCUCUUUCGGCAGGGAAGAUUAUGACGGUACCUGCAGAAGCAGCUGCGGCUAACUACGUGCCAGCAGCCGCGGUAAUACGUAGGCAGCAAGCGUUGUUCGGAGUUACUGGGCGUAAAGGGUGUGUAGGUGGCGCGCUAAGUUCCGUGUGAAAUCUCCCGGCUCAACCGGGAGGGUGCGCGGAAAACUGGCGGGCUCGAGUACGGGAUGGGAGAGUAGAAUUCCUGGUGUAGCGGUGAAAUGCGUAGAUAUCAGGAGGAAUACCGGUGGUGUAGACGGCUCUCUGGACCGUAACUGACACUGAGACACGAAAGCGUGGGUAGCAAACAGGAUUAGAUACCCUGGUAGUCCACGCCCUAAACGAUGCAUAUUUGGUGUAGGUCAUUCAGUUGAUCUGUGCCGGAGCUAACGCGUUAAAUAUGCCGCCUGGGGAGUACAGUCGCAAGGCUGAAACUCAAAAGAAUUGACGGA